rnacentral:tRNA from 1 species
GGAUUGUGGCUCAGUGACAGAGCGAUUGUCUUGUACAUAUAAGGCCCGGGGUUCGAUCCUCAGCACCA